rnacentral:lncRNA from 1 species
UCUUUGGGGAACAUUUUAUCUUCAUCCUGCAACACACAUCCACCUUAGUAGCCUCUCCUCAACUAAUGUGGGAACUACAACUCACAGAGGAAAAGUGAACUGGAUCAAGGCCACUCUGAUCGAAGCUGGUCACGUCCCACAUCUGUGAGACAGUAGAGCCAGUUCUCUGCCCGGUGAAGCAAGCCUGUAAAAGCAUUUCUUUAACAAGUGACUUCAGACUUCAUGUAAACUCAACUGCAUACUGGAAGUCACUGUGAUUCUAAUUUUAUGAAGAAUUAUCAAGUGGAGCAUAUUUAACAAAGUGUGUGGGUUUUUUUUUUCUUACACAGUUUUCUUUUUUCUUUUUUUCAAGGUGCCUUCUUCUAAUUCAUCUUGUAUGGCUUCACCACUGUGGCUGUCAAGAUGGCAUGCAAAAUUAUCCCUCUUUCCAGGAAAUGGAAAUGAAAGCAAAAUGGAAGGACGUGAGGUCUUUAUCCUUGGAGAUCCUAUGGAGUCUCCACAGACAUUCCUUGAAGAAAUCAGGUGUGACGGAUGCUAAUGCAGAGCCUGGUGUUUAGCAAAAAUUGGAACGACCUGGAGCAGCCAGCAGAGUGACAAAUGAGGAAGAGGACAGAAUCCAGCUGAAGAAGCUCCGGAAGAUACCAUUUGAAGUCUGAGUGCUUGAACUCGCAAAGAAAGCACGUGAGUACACACUAGCACUUGAGCUCUUCAUUUUAAACAGAAUAAAGAAUAUACUGCUAGUACUGUCAUUUUACAGAUAGGGAAAUUGAGACUCAACAGGGCUACCUGGAUAGAAAGAAAAUGAGCCAGAAUUUCAAGCAAGCCUGAACUUAGAAUCUACACCUUUUUUUUUUUUUUUUUUUUUUUUUGAAACAGGGUCUUACUUCGUCACCCAGGCUGGAGUUCAGUGGUAUUAGGUUGGUACAAAAGUAAUUGCGGUCUUUGCCGUUUAAAACUAGAGCCUGAAACUGCAAUUAAUUUUGCACCAACCUAAUGCACUUACCAGAGCUCACUUAAGCCUUGACCUCCUGGGCUCAAGUGAUUCUCCCACUUCAGCCUCCCAAGUGGCUGGGACUAUAAGCAGGCAUCACCCUGCCCACCUGCCCAGCUAGCUUUGUGUGUGUGUGUGUGGAGACAGGGUUUUGCCAUGUUGUCCAGGCUGGUCUUUAACUCCUGAGCUCAAACUAUCCUUCUGCCCUGGCCUCCCAAAGUUCUGGGAUUACAGGCAUGAGCCACUGUACCCGGCUCAGAACCUAUGCUCCUAACUUCCACACCAAUUGACCUUGAUUCAGUCAUUUUCAUUUCUAUAGCACUUGGCAUAAUUUCACUUUGCACACAGUAUCUAUAGAUAAUCAUUCCAGGGCAAAGACAGAAAGAUCUAGGCCUGUGUGUGUUGAGGGAGGAAUGUAUUCAAAAGAGAAACUCCUUGAGGACAGCAGCAACAACCGUUCAAAUAAGACACCAUCUAUGGAGCACACAGUGUGUGACUGCCGCUGCAUGCUACUGCAUAUAAUCGUCAUAAGAUAAUUUAUGUUAUUACAUGUGUAUUACUGCAUGUAAUCUUCACGUGUUAUUGCCUCUAACAAGUUAUGUAUUUACAUAUAGUCUCAUAACUGUGUAUAGAAGGCCAUUUUAGAGAUGGAAAACUGAGACUCAGAAGCAGUAAUUGUCUUGUUAGUCAGAUUUAGCCAGGGUUUGGACUGUGAAAUGCAGAGGACCACUUACUUUUCACUACACCAUAAAUGUUCCUCACCACUGAGGCAUGUCAAAUACCAGAUAUCUCCAGGAACCUUAGGCUACGUCUCCAUUGUUUUUGCCUUUUUCCCCCCUAGG